GACGAACGCUGGCGGCGCGCCUAACACAUGCAAGUCGAACGAGCGAGAGAGAGCUUGCUUUCUUGAGCGAGUGGCGAACGGGUGAGUAACGCGUGAGGAACCUGCCUCAAAGAGGGGGACAACAGUUGGAAACGACUGCUAAUACCGCAUAAGCCCACGACCCGGCAUCGGGUUGAGGGAAAAGGAGCAAUCCGCUUUGAGAUGGCCUCGCGUCCGAUUAGCUAGUUGGCAGGGUGAUAGCCUACCAAGGCGACGAUCGGUAGCCGACCUGAGAGGGUGAUCGGCCACAUUGGAACUGAGAUACGGUCCAA
rnacentral:rRNA from 1 species